GAGUGAACGCUGGCGGUAGGCCUAACACAUGCAAGUCGAACGGCAGCACAGUAAGAGCUUGCUCUUACGGGUGGCGAGUGGCGGACGGGUGCGGAAUAAAUCGGAAUCUACUUUUUCGUGGGGGAUAACGUAGGGAAACUUACGCUAAUACCGCAUACGACCUACGGGUGAAAGCAGGGGAUCUUCGGACCUUGCGCGAUUGAAUGAGCCGAUGUCGGCUUAGCUAGUUGGCGGGGUAAAGGCCCACCAAGGCGACGAUCCGUAGCUGGUCUGAGAGGAUGGUCAGCCACACUGGAACUGAAACACGGUCCAGACUCCUACGGGAGGCAGCAGGGGGGAAUAUUGGACAAUGGGCGCAAGCCUGAUCCAGCCAUACCGCGUGGGUGGAGAAGGCCUUCGGGUUGUAAAGCCCUUUUGUUGGGAAAGAAAAGCAGCAGGUUAAUACCCCGCUGUUCUGACGGUACCCAAAGAAUAAGCACCGGCUAACUUCGUG
rnacentral:rRNA from 1 species